GGGCUUACACAAGCGGUGGAGCAUGUGGUUUAAUUCGAAACAACGCGCAGAACCUUACCAAUCCUUGCAAUAUACAGGAAGCAACUGUUAUAAGUUGUCUUUUGGUAUACAGGCGCUGCAUGGCUGUCGUCAGUUCGUGGCGUGAGCUGUUGGGGUUAAGUCCUAGAACGAACGCAACCCUCUUAGCAUGUGCAUUUUAAUGCCUUGUUAAACUGCCAGUGACAUACGGGAGGAAGGAGAGGAUGACGUCAAGUCCGCAUGGCCCUUAUGGGUUGGGCUACACACGUGCUACAAUGGCGAACACAAAGGGAUGCAAGAUGGCAACAUGGAGCA
rnacentral:rRNA from 1 species